rnacentral:rRNA from 1 species
AACGAACGCUGGCGGCAUGCCUAAUACAUGCAAGUCGAACGAUCACUUCGGUGGUAGUGGCGCACGGGUGCGUAGCGCGUGGGAAUCUGCCCUUGGGUUCGGAAUAACGUCGGGAAACUGACGCUAAUACCGGAUGAUGACGUAAGUCCAAAGAUUUAUCGCCCAGGGAUGAGCCCGCGUAGGAUUAGCUAGUUGGUGGGGUAAAGGCCUACCAAGGCGACGAUCCUUAGCUGGUCUGAGAGGAUGAUCAGCCACACUGGGACUGAGACACGGCCCAGACUCCUACGGGAGGCAGCAGUAGGGAAUAUUGGACAAUGGGGGCAACCCUGAUCCAGCAAUGCCGCGUGAGUGAUGAAGGCCUUAGGGUUGUAAAGCUCUUUUACCCGGGAUGAUAAUGACAGUACCGGGAGAAUAAGCCCCGGCUAACUCCGUGCCAGCAGCCGCCGUAA